rnacentral:tRNA from 1 species
GAAAAAGGAUGCAAGAACUGCUAAUUCAUGCUUCCGUACUUAAAAAUACGGCUUUUUCA